rnacentral:lncRNA from 1 species
GUACUGUCUACAUAGUAAUGUCACGUCCAUUAUACUAUAUUACACAACACUCCUCCCCACUUUGAAAGGAGUGAGUUUACUUCCUAUUUGAAUUUUCACUAUAUUCCUUUAGUCCACCCCGUCUGGUUGCACCACGGGGAUAAAAAAAAAAUAAUCUCCAACUUUCUUGAAUAAUGCAUAUUCCAAUGUUGAUCGACAUAUUAACAACAC